UACACAGUCAAACUCUCUAAAACAAACUCUUAAUCUUUCAUCAGCUGGAACUACUGCAGCAUCACCUGUUGUACCUGAUGCUGUUCUUGAUGCUGCUCCUAAAAUAAUGAAGGUGGUAAUGUUUCUAAAACCCAUUUGAAUCACAAUGGCGUAUGAUA